rnacentral:rRNA from 1 species
AACGUAGGAGGCGAGCGUUAUCCGGAUUUACUGGGCGUAAAGGGCGUGUAGGCGGUGUCAUAAGUCAUGCGUGAAAGCUCCCAGGCUUAACCGGGAGAGGACGUGUGAGACUGUGAGACUAGAGACAGGUAGAGGCAAGUAGAAUUCCAGGUGUAGUGGUGAAAUGCGUAGAUAUCUGGAGGAAUACCCGUGGCGAAGGCGGCUUGCUAGACCUGAUCUGACGCUCAGACGCGACAGCAUGGGGAGCGAACGGG